rnacentral:rRNA from 1 species
UAAUAGUGUAUAUUAAAGUUGUUGCAGUUAAAAAGCUCGUAGUUGAAUGUUGGUGUCGAACGAGCGGUCAGCUUCGGCUGUACUGCUCUCUCGACUCCUUCCUUCUGUGGACUACGUCGCACUUUACUGUGUGGCGCUAGGACGCAGAUCGUUUACUGUGAAAAAAUUAGAGUGUUCAAAGCAGACCGUACGCUUGAAUACAUUAGCAUGGAAUAAUGGAAUAGGACGUCGGGCCUAUUUUGUUGGUUCUAGGACCGUCGUAAUGAUUAAUAGGGACAGUUGGGGCCGUUUAUAUUCCGUAGUCAGAGGUGAAAUUCUUGGAUUUACGGAAGAUAAACUACUGCGAAAGCAUUCGGCAAGGAUGUUUUCGUUAA